rnacentral:rRNA from 1 species
UGGGGGAUAUUGCACAAUGGGCGAAAGCCUGAUGCAGCGACGCCGCGUGGGGGAUGAAGGCCUUCGGGUUGUAAACUUCUUUUGCUCUGAACAAGGCGCACCAUGGGGUGUGUUGAGUGUAGGGGUUGAUUAGCGCCGGCUAACUACGUGCCAGCAGCCGCGGUAAUACGUAGGGCGCGAGCGUUGUCCGGAAUUAUUGGGCGUAAAGGGCUUGUAGGUGGCUGGUUGCGUCUGUCGUGAAAGCUCAUGGCUUAACUGUGGGUUUGCGGUGGGUACGGGCUGGCUUGAGUGCAGUAGGGGAGGCUGGAAUUCCUGGUGUAGCGGUGGAAUGCGCAGAUCUCAGGAGGAAUACCGGUGGCGAAGGCGGGUCUCUGGGCUGUUACUGACACUGAGGAGCGAAAGCAUGGGGAGCGAACAGG